rnacentral:SRP_RNA from 1 species
GGGUAAGUCUUAUACGACCAGCUCCUGUUGAACUCCCCCAGAUUCGGAAGAAAGCAAGGGUAAACGGUUGAGCGGUGCGAUAUAGGGUGCUUACCCCUU